UAUUACCGGUUCUGGUUAGAUCACCGAAGUCAAGCAUCAUUGGGCGCGGUCAGUACAUUUGGGGGAGUGACCACCUCGGAACACCGCGUGCCGUU
rnacentral:rRNA from 1 species